CCUACGGGAGGCAGCAGUAGGGAAUCUUCCGCAAUGGACGAAAGUCUGACGGAGCAACGCCGCGUGAACGAUGAAGGCCUUCGGGUCGUAAAGUUCUGUUGUUAGGGAAGAACAAGUGCUAGUUGAAUAAGCUGGCACCUUGACGGUACCUAACCAGAAAGCCACGGCUAACUACGUGCCAGCAGCCGCGGUAAUACGUAGGUGGCAAGCGUUGUCCGGAAUUAUUGGGCGUAAAGCGCGCGCAGGCGGUUUCUUAAGUCUGAUGUGAAAGCCCCCGGCUCAACCGGGGAGGGUCAUUGGAAACUGGGAAACUUGAGUGCAGAAGAGGAAAGUGGAAUUCCAAGUGUAGCGGUGAAAUGCGUAGAGAUUUGGAGGAACACCAGUGGCGAAGGCGACUUUCUGGUCUGUAACUGACGCUGAGGCGCGAAAGCGUGGGGAGCAAACAGGAUUAGAUACCCUGGUAGUCCACGCUGUAAACGAUGAGUGCUAAGUGUUAGAGGGUUUCCGCCCUUUAGUGCUGAAGUUAACGCAUUAAGCGCUCCGCCUGGGGAUACGGUCGCAAGACUGAAACUUAAUGAAUUGACGG
rnacentral:rRNA from 1 species